rnacentral:rRNA from 1 species
UGGGGAAUAUUGCACAAUGGGCGCAAGCCUGAUGCAGCCAUGCCGCGUGUGUGAAGAAGGCCUUCGGGUUGUAAAGCACUUUCAGCGAGGAGGAAGGGUUCAGUGUUAAUAGCACUGUGCAUUGACGUUACUCGCAGAAGAAGCACCGGCUAACUCCGUGCCAGCAGCCGCGGUAAUACGGAGGGUGCAAGCGUUAAUCGGAAUUACUGGGCGUAAAGCGCACGCAGGCGGUUUUGUUAAAGUCAGAUGUGAAAAUCCCCCG